rnacentral:lncRNA from 1 species
UUUUGUUUUUAAAGGUCCUAUUUACUUUGGAACGCACCUUGUAUAAGUAUUCAUCAUUACAAAGAGACCUCUUUCUUUAGUUAUUGUUAUUUAAGUAUUUUCUAACUCCAAUUGAUAUCCUUUCAGAUAAAUCAAAAAAGCGAAGAAAUGGACCGACAAAAGGCCGUCCGAGAAUGCAAGGACUGGCGAAAAAAUCGACAAUGCUUAAACUUAAUUGCUUCUACCCCACCCUUAACAACACUAGCUGGAGCUUUGGAAAAUAACGAGAAACUACAAUGCGAGGAAUUUGCUAUAGCAACGAAAAAGUGUGUUUUAAGGAUGAAAGGCAGUUCAGAGAGUGUACGUGAUGUGUUGCGAUAUCUGUACACUGACGAAUUCCUCUGAUUAUGUAACUCGGACGGACAUUUUAAGCAAAUGCUAACGAAAUGUCUACUGGCAUCCAACAUAUUAUAUGAUUCUUUCAUCACUUGUGAACUGGCGAAUUUCGAAAAACAAUUUCGGAAGUCCAUCGAAAUAAACAAUCAUAGAUACAAGCAAAUGAAAUAUAAGAAGCGAAAAGCUGUGGAGGAAUCAAAUGAAUAACGAAAGAACAUUAUAAUAAUUUAAUAGAAACGUAUAUAUUAUUUUUUUAUGUGUAUAUAGUAUAUACUAAUUUUAUAUACUUUAUAUGGAAGAAGUUUUUAAUUAAAAAUGUGUAAACAAAAAUGAAAUUUAAUAGCAACAAUUAAUUCGAAAAUCUAUAAUAAUUUUUACUGUGAAUUAAAUUUUUUUGUAAGAAUAUUGAAGAAAAAUGAAAUUAAUGUAAAUCUUGUCAAUUGGAAGAAAGUAAUAAACGAAAAUGAUAA